rnacentral:rRNA from 1 species
GUCCUAGCCCUAAACGAUGAAUACUUGGUGUCUGGAGUUUUUAUCCUCCGGGUGCCGUCGCUAACGUUUUAAGUAUUCCGCCUGGGGAGUACGCACGCAAGUGUGAAACUCAAAGGAAUUGACGGGACCCGCACAAGCGGUGGAGCAUGUGGUUUAAUUCGACGCAACGCGAAGAACCUUACCUGGACUAGAAUGUGAGGGAAGGGCUUCUAAAUAGAGUCCGUCCGGGCAAACCGGACCCAAAAACAAGGUGCUGCAUGGCUGUCGU